UACGUAGGGUGCGAGCGUUGUCCGGAAUUAUUGGGCGUAAAGAGCUCGUAGGCGGUCUGUCGCGUCGGUCGUGAAAACUUGGGGCUUAACCCUGAGCUUGCGGUCGAUACGGGCAUGACUGGAGUUCGGCAGGGGAGACUGGAAUUCCUGGUGUAGCGGUGAAAUGCGCAGAUAUCAGGAGGAACACCGGUGGCGAAGGCGGCGACCUGGGUAGAUACUGACGCUGAGGCGCGAAAGCGUGGGGAGCAAACAGG
rnacentral:rRNA from 1 species